rnacentral:rRNA from 1 species
UACGUAGGGUGCGAGCGUUGUCCGGAAUUAUUGGGCGUAAAGAGCUCGUAGGCGGUUUGUCGCGUCGGCCGUGAAAACCUGGGGCUUAACUCUGGGCGUGCGGUCGAUACGGGCAUCACUGGAGUCCGGCAGGGGAGACUGGAAUUCCUGGUGUAGCGGUGAAAUGCGCAGAUAUCAGGAGGAACACCGGUGGCGAAGGCGGGUCUCUGGGACGGUACUGACGCUAAGGCGCGAAAGCGUGGGGAGCGAACAGG